rnacentral:rRNA from 1 species
AUGGCUGCUAUCUAUCGCGGCGCGAGGGCGACGGAGGAAAGGUCGUCGGAGGGCGGCUGCAGGGUGCGCUCCCACGCCCGGGACUCCACGUACAACCGCGACACCUUGCCCGCCACCCACGCCAUCUCCGGCCGCUCCUUUCCCUCCUCGGCAUCGGCAUCGGCGGCGCACCGCAGCCCCACCUCCACUAGCCUCUCCGCGGCCGCCACGGGGAACGAGUCGCUCAGCUGCCGGUCCACCCAGCUCCGCACCCGCCCGCUCCGGACCGCCUCCGCCGCCGUGUCCACCACCGACACGCGCGCCAACUCCUUGGUGGCGCGGUCGAACCGGUAA